UUAAAAAAAAAAAAAGGUAAAGUUUCUGAAUACUCAAAAGCAGAGAGAUUAGUACAGUGAACUCCCAUGUCUACAUUCUGCAAGACAUCUUCUUCAAUUGCACUGUUAUGGUAACAGGAUCACUGUGCUAAACCCUGCAGAAGCCAGGUCUCAUCCAAUGUGCAUGAGAAAUCACUGCACCUGCCUUUGUGGAUGGCCCCCGGCUGCGCCUUGGGAUGAGAGGAAGGAACAGGCAUAAAGAGCCGAAGCAGCUUGCCAGUGUUUCUCUGAGGAAGCAGCUGAGCCGGGAUUCACACGCGAGGUGGUGGAGCCCAGAGACGAUAGACAGAGCUGGCCCACCUGGAACACUGCUAGUGGCAGAGGGGAAAGAACACAGCAAUUGUGCACCAGCUUUUGGAGGCCUCCUCUAGAAAGUGGCAUUUAUCACUCCUGCUCACAUUUCGUUGGCCGAAGCAAGCCCAACUCCGAAGACCCAGGGAGUGCAAUCCUUCUGCAGAGAGAGGGACUGCUGAGCAGUCUACGCACCAGAACAUGGAGUUAAUCUGCAGGAGAGACAUCCGUGAGCCUCAGAGAACAAGCCAGAGGCGUGUGGGGCCCCGUGGGACAAAGUCUGGCAGAGUUAGGAAGGGUGCUCCCCCCCAAUCUCUGAUCUUGCUCCCACCCCCUAGAUGGGACUGACGGCUUCAGGAACCUUGGGAGGCCCACCUGUCAGCAAUACUGGCAUGGAGAGAAGCACAUUCCUCUACCCAGGGCCUUUGCAUAUGCUGUGCCCUCUGCCUUGAUCCCUCUUCCCCACUCCCACGUCUACUAGUUCAUAUUCAUCCUUCACAUUUCAGGAAUAAGCUCAAUUCUUCUGGGAAGCCUCGUUUACACCUUUCCUUGUAUUAGGCCCUCCUGUGAUUCUCCUUCAUAGCACC